AAAGUUAAAUUUAGGCAUGAGCAUUUGGGUUCAAAUUAAGAAUAUUAGAUUUUUAGAUUUUCGAAUUCAUUUUCUUAGAUCUCAUUCUAAUAUUUUAUAAAUAUAGAUUGGCUUCGGAUAAUAACACACUUUAUGUUCGGUUCUAAAUUGUAAUACAUUUAAAACCUAUAAAGUAAUUGUUAUCAUUCGAAUCAUAUCAGUUUGGUUUAAGAUGAAUCUGAAAUAAAAGGCAAAAUUUUAAAAAAAAAAUUAAGAAAAACACUUGAACUGGAUAUAAAAUAAUCGAACCC
rnacentral:lncRNA from 1 species